rnacentral:tRNA from 1 species
CGAACUUUGCGUUAACGCAUCUUUAAAUGUUUAUGAUUAUAGAAAAAAUACAAUAAAACUAA